rnacentral:rRNA from 1 species
UGGUGGAGUGAUUUGUCUGGUUAAUUCCGUUAACGAACGAGACCUCGACCUGCUAACUAGUGCACUCUAGUAUUCGUACUAGAGUCGAUUCGCACUUCUUAGAGGGACUAUCGGUGUGUAGCCGAUGGAAGUUCGAGGCAAUAACA